GUGGGGAAUAUUGGACAAUGGGGGGAACCCUGAUCCAGCCAUGCCGCGUGUGUGAAGAAGGCCUUUUGGUUGUAAAGCACUUUAAGCGAGGAGGAGGCUACCGAGAUUAAUACUCUUGGAUAGUGGACGUUACUCGCAGAAUAAGCACCGGCUAACUCUGUGCCAGCAGCCGCGGUAAUACAGAGGGUGCAAGCGUUAAUCGGAUUUACUGGGCGUAAAGCGGGCGUAGGUGGCCAAUUAAGUCAAAUGUGAAAUCCCCGAGCUUAACUUGGGAAUUGCAUUCGAUACUGGUUGGCUAGAGUAUGGGAGAGGAUGGUAGAAUUCCAGGUGUAGCGGUGAAAUGCGUAGAGAUCUGGAGGAAUACCGAUGGCGAAGGCAGCCAUCUGGCCUAAUACUGACACUGAGGUGCGAAAGCAUGGGGAGCAAACAGGAUUAGAUACCCCUGUAGUCC
rnacentral:rRNA from 1 species